CUCUCCCUGCCUUGUGCGAUAAAUACGGCUUAUAUAACCCAACACGUAAUUAUUGGGAGCCUAUCUCCGGUGACGGAUUGCAGACCUCCCGACUUUGGUCGGACGAAGGGAGCGCGAACUCAUUGGGCGGCACCCACCUGCUAUGAGCAGGUUAUAAUCUGUCGUAUCCGGCUUGGCGGGGCGUUU
rnacentral:other from 1 species